UGGGGAAUUUUGGACAAUGGGGGAAACCCUGAUCCAGCCAUCCCGCGUGUGCGAUGAAGGCCUUCGGGUUGUAAAGCACUUUUGGCAGGAAAGAAACGUCAUGGGUUAAUACCCCGUGAAACUGACGGUACCUGCAGAAUAAGCACCGGCUAACUACGUGCCAGCAGCCGCGGUAAUACGUAGGGUGCAAGCGUUAAUCGGAAUUACUGGGCGUAAAGCGUGCGCAGGCGGUCCGGAAAGAAAGAUGUGAAAUCCCAGAGCUCAACUUUGGAACUGCAUAUGUAACCACCGAGCUGGAGUGAGUCAGAGGCAGGUGGAAGUCCGCGUGUAGCAAUGAAAUGCGUAUGUAUGCGGAGCAACACCGAUGACGAAGGCAGACUCCUGGAAUAACAAAGACGCUCAUGCACGAAGGCGUGGGGAGCAAACAGG
rnacentral:rRNA from 1 species